rnacentral:lncRNA from 1 species
GGGGGGCGGACUGGAAGGUGUCGGAAGCAUUAGCAGUAAGAAAACAUGUCAACAGAAUAAAAUAUUAACCAAUGACAGAAAGGCUCGGGAAAUCCCACCCCCAGCUCGGAGCCAAAGAGCGGGUCAGCCCUCCGUCCGCGGCCGGGGGAGAGAGCACCGCGCCCGGCCUGCGCUUCAUCACUCACUCGGGGGGCUUUGGACCACGUCCGGGGCGGCACAUGUGCACCACGAGCCACCCGCUUCACACACCACUUUAAAAAUAUCUAACUUUUGUCUAAUUUUUAUCCCAUGCGUCCGGAUGUGCUUUGUUCCGUGUGCAUUCAUGGCAGAAUUAAUAUGGGCAAUAAAAGUGAAAUGAAUGAAAAGAAAAACAGAUGCGCCGGUGUCUUUAAGGAAUUUAAUUCCGAGUGCGGCAUUUGAAAAGCCCUAGAAUAAAUUCAAUUAUGCACGAAAUAUUUUUCUACUCCACCCUAUUCCAGUGUUUAUAUUUAAUUCUGGGUAAUUGCUGGUGCUCUGCUGGGGUUCUUUGUGCUCUCAAACUGGGGGUCUAAUUCCUCAUUCCUCGUGACAUGAUACCGGACUCUUUAUUUGAACUGUGCGCUAAAGCUCUCCGUCCGGGUGCCGAGGCGAGGGCGGCGAGGGCGGCGAGGGCAGCGAGCGACACGCCGGACGCCGGACGCAGGACGCCGGGACGCCGACAGCCGAAGCAGCGCCGAGCAGCGCCGAGCAGCGCCCGAUGGAUGGCGGAGAAGAGGAACCGGCUGAGCGCCUUUCCACGCCACGAGUGGAGCGGACGUUCCGGCCCGGUCCGGACCUCUGGGUUAUUCAGUAAUCUCUACUUUAACGGGUGA